rnacentral:rRNA from 2 species
GGUUAAGCGACUAAGCGUACACGGUGGAUGCCCUGGCAGUCAGAGGCGAUGAAGGACGUGCUAAUCUGCGAAAAGCGUCGGUAAGGUGAUAUGAACCGUUAUAACCGGCGAUGUCCGAAUGGGGAAACCCAGUGUGAUUCGUCACACUAUCGUUAACUGAAUACAUAGGUUAACGAGGCGAACCGGGGGAACUGAAACAUCUAAGUACCCCGAGGAAAAGAAAUCAACCGAGAUUCCCCCAGUAGCGGCGAGCGAACGGGGAGCAGCCCAGAGUCUGAAUCAGCUUGUGUGUUAGUGGAACGGUCUGGAAAGUCCGACGGUACAGGGUGAUAGUCCCGUACACCAAAAUGCACAGGCUGUGAACUCGAAGAGUAGGGCGGGACACGUGGUAUCCUGUCUGAAUAUGGGGGGACCAUCCUCCAAGGCUAAAUACUCCUGACUGACCGAUAGUGAACCAGUACCGUGAGGGAAAGGCGAAAAGAACCCCGGCGAGGGGAGUGAAAAAGAACCUGAAACCGUGUACGUACAAGCAGUGGGAGCACCUUCGGGUGUGACUGCGUACCUUUUGUAUAAUGGGUCAGCGACUUAUAUUCUGUAGCAAGGUUAACCGUAUAGGGGAGCCGCAGGGAAACCGAGUCUUAACUGGGCGUUAAGUUGCAGGGUAUAGACCCGAAACCCGGUGAUCUAGCCAUGGGCAGGUUGAAGGUUGGGUAACACUAACUGGAGGACCGAACCGACUAAUGUUGAAAAAUUAGCGGAUGACUUGUGGCUGGGGGUGAAAGGCCAAUCAAACCGGGAGAUAGCUGGUUCUCCCCGAAAGCUAUUUAGGUAGCGCCUCGUGAAUUCAUCUUCGGGGGUAGAGCACUGUUUCGGCUAGGGGGUCAUCCCGACUUACCAACCCGAUGCAAACUACGAAUACCGAAGAAUGUUAUCACGGGAGACACACGGCGGGUGCUAACGUCCGUCGUGAAGAGGGAAACAACCCAGACCGCCAGCUAAGGUCCCAAAGUCAUGGUUAAGUGGGAAACGAUGUGGGAAGGCACAGACAGCCAGGAUGUUGGCUUAGAAGCAGCCAUCAUUUAAAGAAAGCGUAAUAGCUCACUGGUCGAGUCGGCCUGCGCGGAAGAUGUAACGGGGCUAAACCAUGCACCGAAGCUGCGGCAGCGACACUAUGUGUUGUUGGGUAGGGGAGCGUUCUGUAAGCCUGCGAAGGUGACCUGUGAGGGUUGCUGGAGGUAUCAGAAGUGCGAAUGCUGACAUAAGUAACGAUAAAGCGGGUGAAAAGCCCGCUCGCCGGAAGACCAAGGGUUCCUGUCCAACGUUAAUCGGGGCAGGGUGAGUCGACCCCUAAGGCGAGGCCGAAAGGCGUAGUCGAUGGGAAACAGGUUAAUAUUCCUGUACUUGGUGUUACUGCGAAGGGGGGACGGAGAAGGCUAUGUUAGCCGGGCGACGGUUGUCCCGGUUUAAGCAUGUAGGCUGGUUGUCCAGGCAAAUCCGGAUAAUCAAGGCUGAGGUGUGAUGACGAGGCACUACGGUGCUGAAGUAACAAAUGCCCUGCUUCCAGGAAAAGCCUCUAAGCAUCAGGUAACAUCAAAUCGUACCCCAAACCGACACAGGUGGUCAGGUAGAGAAUACCAAGGCGCUUGAGAGAACUCGGGUGAAGGAACUAGGCAAAAUGGUGCCGUAACUUCGGGAGAAGGCACGCUGGUGUGUAGGUGAAGUCCCUGCGGAUGGAGCUGAGACCAGUCGAAGAUACCAGCUGGCUGCAACUGUUUAUUAAAAACACAGCACUGUGCAAACACGAAAGUGGACGUAUACGGUGUGACGCCUGCCCGGUGCCGGAAGGUUAAUUGAUGGGGUUAUCCGUAAGGAGAAGCUCUUGAUCGAAGCCCCGGUAAACGGCGGCCGUAACUAUAACGGUCCUAAGGUAGCGAAAUUCCUUGUCGGGUAAGUUCCGACCUGCACGAAUGGCGUAAUGAUGGCCAGGCUGUCUCCACCCGAGACUCAGUGAAAUUGAACUCGCUGUGAAGAUGCAGUGUACCCGCGGCAAGACGGAAAGACCCCGUGAACCUUUACUAUAGCUUGACACUGAACAUUGAGCCUUGAUGUGUAGGAUAGGUGGGAGGCUUUGAAGCGUGGACGCCAGUCUGCGUGGAGCCAACCUUGAAAUACCACCCUUUAAUGUUUGAUGUUCUAACGUUGGCCCCUGACCGGGGUUGCGGACAGUGUCUGGUGGGUAGUUUGACUGGGGCGGUCUCCUCCCAAAGCGUAACGGAGGAGCACGAAGGUUAGCUAAUCCUGGUCGGACAUCAGGAGGUUAGUGCAAUGGCAUAAGCUAGCUUGACUGCGAGCGUGACGGCGCGAGCAGGUGCGAAAGCAGGUCAUAGUGAUCCGGUGGUUCUGAAUGGAAGGGCCAUCGCUCAACGGAUAAAAGGUACUCCGGGGAUAACAGGCUGAUACCGCCCAAGAGUUCAUAUCGACGGCGGUGUUUGGCACCUCGAUGUCGGCUCAUCACAUCCUGGGGCUGAAGUAGGUCCCAAGGGUAUGGCUGUUCGCCAUUUAAAGUGGUACGCGAGCUGGGUUUAGAACGUCGUGAGACAGUUCGGUCCCUAUCUGCCGUGGGCGCUGGAGAAUUGAGGGGGGCUGCUCCUAGUACGAGAGGACCGGAGUGGACGCAUCACUGGUGUUCGGGUUGUCAUGCCAAUGGCACUGCCCGGUAGCUAAAUGCGGAAGAGAUAAGUGCUGAAAGCAUCUAAGCACGAAACUUGCCCCGAGAUGAGUUCUCCCUGAGACUUUAAGUCUCCUGAAGGAACGUUGAAGACGACGACGUUGAUAGGCCGGGUGUGUAAGCGCAGCGAUGCGUUGAGCUAACCGGUACUAAUGAACCGUGAGGCUUAACCUU